AAUCACUGGGCUUAUACCAAUCUCCUAAAACAGAAUGGGAUAUCAGAUGCCACUCAAUGGACUUACACUAAUCUCCACAGAAGAAAACAAGAAAUGGGAUAUGAAAUGUGGAAGUCAACUGCCAAUCUGUCUGGACUUAGGUUAACCCCACACAUAUGAUCAUAGGAAUACCAAUGCCUCAUAGCAGGGACUUACAAGGAUCCUCACAUACAAGAACUAUGCAACAUGAGAUGAUGAGAAAGCAAAAGCCAACUUGCAGGGACUUACAAUUGCAAUUUCUCAUACAAUCAAACAAAUC
rnacentral:lncRNA from 1 species